GGCUGAGCUGGCGGGUCCUUCAGGUUCCCAGGAGCUACACUCAGAGGAAGUACAACCCCAUGUUGUAUGCUGAUGAAUUAAGUCCCAAGGCCACAGCCUUGUUACUGUGGAGAGGUGAACUCAGGGAUGUGAACACACACAGGAAGAUGUGUGGGGCUCUGUGGAAGGAAGAGAAACCGAGGAAGACUUCCUAGAGGAGGAGAGCAGUGAGCUGAGACGUGAAAUUUAGGGAAACACGCUGUGGGGACAGUGAGACUCUCGUUACUGGAGAAUGCCAAUGAGUCGUAAAGUGUGUUGAAAUGCACGAGGAGUUUCUGGAACUAGAUAUUUGCGUUCAAUCAUGAUUCUGCUGUGUGACUAUGGGUUAGCCACAUAAGUUCGCUGAGUUUUUGUCUCUUCAUCUGUAAAACUGGGUCAUAAUACACAGUGCUGACACAUGA